rnacentral:lncRNA from 1 species
UUCAAAACAUGUUAAUGAUUCAUAACUUUGUUUCUUGAAAGGUGGAGAUCUUUCUUAAAAUGGAUAUACAGAUGCAAUGAGAAGGUGUUUUGAGUUUGUGACCACAACAAAAAAACUCAGACCCACAGAUCCUUUCAUUUGCUGACUAAAAAAGCUGAACACAUAUUUUACUUAAAAUAUAUAAUAUUCAAAAAAAUGUAUAUGCUAAACAAUGCAAUAAAAUUGAGAAACAUACAUAAUAAUUACAAAUUUACCACAUAGCAAGAAUGGAACAUCAAUAUCAAAAUUAAGAAUUACAGAGUUGCACAGUAAAAAUUUAAAAGCACAUGUUGCAAUGUUAAAAUUUUGAUCUCUUUGCUUUCCAUAAUAUAACACUGCCCUCUUUUUUUCAUGGUUCCAUUAAAAUCUGAUAUACAACACAAUAUAAUGAAUAAUAUAGCAC